ensembl:miRNA
GGGGGCGGGAGCCGGGGUCUGCAGGUUUGCACUGAUGCCUGCUCACCCUGUCUCCCGCCAG